CCAGACUCCUACGGGAGGCAGCAGUGGGGAAUAUUGGACAAUGGACCAAAAGUCUGAUCCAGCAAUUCUGUGUGCACGAUGACGUUUUUCGGAAUGUAAAGUGCUUUCAGUUGGGAAGAAAAAAAUGACGGUACCAACAGAAGAAGUGACGGCUAAAUACGUGCCAGCAGCCGCGGUAAUACGUAUGUCACGAGCGUUAUCCGGAUUUAUUGGGCGUAAAGCGCGUCUAGGUGGUUAUAUAAGUCUGAUGUGAAAAUGCAGGGCUCAACUCUGUAUUGCGUUGGAAACUGUAUAACUAGAGUACUGGAGAGGUAAGCGGAACUACAAGUGUAGAGGUGAAAUUCGUAGAUAUUUGUAGGAAUGCCGAUGGGGAAGCCAGCUUACUGGACAGAUACUGACGCUGAAGCGCGAAAGCGUGGGUAGCAAACAGGAUUAGAUACCCUGGUAGUCCACGCUGUAAACGAUGAUUACUAGGUGUUGGGGGUCGAACCUCAGCGCCCAAGCAAACGCGAUAAGUAAUCCGCCUGGGGAGUACGUACGCAAGUAUGAAACUCAAAGGAAUUGACGGGGGCCCGCACAAG
rnacentral:rRNA from 1 species